GCCACCGAACGGGACGGACGGAACAGAAUCGCGUAGUGCCUAUUUUUGUGUCUAGUUCGAAUUAUAAGCAAGAUAACGGUUUUAGUUUUAUUUUAAGUGAUUCUUUUGUUACCUGUAAAUAAUUAUUAAUUGUCGAAUAAAUCUCUAAUGUUUUUCGUAGUUAAACGUUUUAUUCUACCCUCAGUCCGGUAAAAGUUUAUAUCAGAAGCGGGCUACGAGUUUUCCUAACGCGCUCAAAUAAGUUAAGAUGGGAGGUAAAAGAAAACACAAAAAUAGGCACCGAGAUAGAAAAAAACGUGUCCGUUCGCCAUCGCCAAGCACCAGCAGCACAUCCACGAGCAGCGACAGCGAGCCGAGGACGCCGCCGCCCACCUCCAAGGCUCGGAAAAGGACAAAGGUAUCGCACCCAAACGAUACUGAAACUGUUGAUCUUCGUCAGGUCUCACGUGUCAACACUUGGAGUUGGCUUACCUCAUGCGGACGUGCCUGAGGACAUGCACGAUGCAGGAGGGCCGUGUUGGCAACACUGAGUGACGUCACGUUUUGUGGCGGGGCUCAGAGCGGCGCGCACGGCGCUGAACUCUUUUUGCUCGAGCCACCGAACGGGACGGACGGAACAGAAUCGCGUAGUGCCUAUUUUUGUGUCUAGUUCGAAUUAUAAGCAAGAUAACGGUUUUAGUUUUAUUUUAAGUGAUUCUUUUGUUACCUGUAAAUAAUUAUUAAUUGUCGAAUAAAUCUCUAAUGUUUUUCGUA